UAGCUCAGUUGGUAGAGCGCUCCACUAAAAAGGGAGAGGUCCCGGGUUCAACGCCCGG
rnacentral:tRNA from 1 species